UGCCUACGGGAGGCAGCAGUAAGGAAUAUUGGUCAAUGGACGAAAGUCUGAACCAGCCAUGCCGCGUGGAGGAUGAAGGUCCUCUGGAUUGUAAACUUCUUUUAUAUGGGACGAAAAAAGGGUUUUCUAACUCGUCUGACGGUACCAUAUGAAUAAGCACCGGCUAACUCCGUGCCAGCAGCCGCGGUAAUACGGAGGGUGCAAGCGUUAUCCGGAUUCACUGGGUUUAAAGGGUGCGUAGGUGGGUUGGUAAGUCAGUGGUGAAAUCUCCGAGCUUAACUUGGAAACUGCCAUUGAUACUAUCAGUCUUGAAUAUUGUGGAGGUCAGCGGAAUAUGUCAUGUAGCGGUGAAAUGCUUAGAUAUGACAUAGAACACCAAUUGCGAAGGCAGCUGGCUACACAUCUAUUGACACUGAGGCACGAAAGCGUGGGGAUCAAACAGGAUUAGAUACCCCUGUAGUCU
rnacentral:rRNA from 1 species